rnacentral:rRNA from 1 species
UACAGAGGGUGCGAGCGUUGUUCGGAAUUAUUGGGCGUAAAGGGCGCGUAGGCGGUGCGGUAAGUCACCUGUGAAAUCUCCUGGCUCAACUGGGAGCUUGCAGGCGAAACUGCCGUGCUGGAGUGUGGGAGAGGUGCGUGGAAUUCCUGGUGUAGCGGUGAAAUGCGUAGAUAUCAGGAGGAACACCGGUGGCGAAGGCGGGUCUCUGGGCCGAUACUGACGCUGGAGGAGCGAAAGCCGUGGGGAGCGAACAGGAUAGAUACCC